rnacentral:tRNA from 1 species
UUCCUGGUGGCCCAGGAGUUAGGGCGUUGAUCUUCCACUGCAGAGUCACGGGUUCGAUACCCGGUCAGGGAA